AUGUUGGUCACGCUCCGUCUGCUCCUGACACAUCCUUCUGACAGACCGCUGAUGGGUCGACAAGCCCAACAUACCUGUCUCCUUAUACCACGCUGCCUGUCUCCUUAUCCCACGCUGCCUGUCUCAUUAUACCACGCUGCCUGUCUCCUUAUACCACGCUGCCUGUCUCCUUAUACCACGCUGCCUCUCUCCUUAUACCACGCUGCCUCUCUCCUUAUACCACGCUGCCUGUCUCCUUAUCCCACGCUGCCUGUCUCCUUAUCCCACGCUGCCUGCCUCCGUAUACCACGCUGCCUGCCUCCUUAUCCCACGCUGCCUUCUCCUUAUCCCACGCUGCCUGUCUCAUUAUACCACGCUGCCUGUCUCCUUAUACCACGCUGCCUUCUCCUUAUCCCACGCUGCCUGUCUCCUUAUCCCACGCUGCCUGUCUCCUUAUCCCACGCUGCCUGUCUCAUUAUACCACGCUGCCUGUCUCCUUAUACCACGCUGCCUGUCUCCUUAUACCACGCUGCCUCUCUCCUUAUACCACGCUGCCUCUCUCCUUAUACCACGCUGCCUGUCUCCUUAUACCACGCUGCCUGUCUCCUUAUACCACGCUGCCUCUCUCCUUAUACCACGCUGCCUCUCUCCUUAUACCACGCUGCCUGUCUCCUUAUACCACGCUGCCUGUCUCCUAAUACCACGCUGCGUGUCUCCUUAUACCACGCUGCCUGUCUCCUUAUACCACGCUGCCUGUCUCCUUAUACCACGCUGCCUGUCUCCUUAUACCACGCUGCCUGUCUCCUUAUACCACGCUGCCUGUCUCCUUAUCCCACGCUGCCUGCCUCCUUAUCCCACGCUGCCUGUCUCCUUAUCCCACGCUGCCUGUCUCCUUAUCCCACGCUGCCUGUCUCCUUAUCCCACGCUGCCUGUCUCCUUAUACCACGCUGCCUGUCACCAUGUUUCCUCUCUCUCUGCAUCCCUCUGUGUGUCAAAGCCCAACCGGUAAAGGAUGUGGAUCUGGGAAUGAUCAUGAUGGUUGAUUGA
rnacentral:lncRNA from 1 species